GAUGAACGCUGGCGGCGUGCCUAAUACAUGCAAGUCGAGCGAACAGACGAGGCUCUUGCUCCUCUGACGUUAGCGGCGGACGUGUGAGUAACACGUGGAUAACCUACCUAUAAGACUGGGAUAACCUCGGGAAACCGGAGCUAAUACCGGAUAACCUGCUGAACCGCAUUGGUCAUUAGUGAAAGUCGGCUUUGCGGUCUCUUCUCGCUGGAUCCGGGUCGCAUUAGCUAGUUGGUAAGUUAACGGCUUACCAAGGCAACGAUGCGUAGCCGACGUGAGAGGGGGUUCGGCCACACUGGAACUGAGACACGCACCAGACGCCUGCGGGAGGCAGCAGUAGGGAACGUUACGCAAUGGGCGAAAGCAUGACGGAGCGACGCGGCGUGAGUGAAGAAGGUCUUCGGAUCGUAAAACUCUGUUAUUAGGGAAGAACAAAUGUGUAAGUAAAUAUGCACGUAUUGACGGUACCUAGUCAGAAAGCCACGGCUAACUACGUG
rnacentral:rRNA from 1 species